GGAGCAUGGCAUCCACUACCAAACGUCCGGUGCUAUCCCACACCUACUCUCGUAUGGCAAUUGAGAGCCAUCUCUCAAUAUUCACUGAAUAGAAGAGAGAGGAAAAAAGGGGAUAUUGAGUAAUACAGUACCAGAAACCUUAUUUUGGCAGUGAUGAAUAACGCGUAUACAGAGGACACAACAAUCACAUCUCUCUUCAGUCAUGCUUUACCUGUUGCUGCAGAAAUCAGCUGGCUUCCUCAGGAGAGAUUUACACUUCCCAAAAUGUUGAUGUCCCAAACCAUCACAUAGGCAUUAGCCCUGGAUAGGGUGUGUCUAGGAGUAUCAAUUGGAGGGGACUACAAAUGUUUCUACUUUAUUCAAGAAGCAACCCAUGAGUAUUGCAAGGAAACUGAGACUGCUGACUAUAGACCUCCUUCAGCUUCAAAACUGCACUGAGCAUAUGUACUACACUCGGCAGAUGAAAGAUGUGAUAGUGAAUACUGGUAUUUCCCCCCCAAUUCAAGAAGGUCCCUGAGGGAAUCACUGAUGAAAAGAGAACCUGGGAGCCAUGAAUGUAAACCAGUGAUAUUAACAUUAAAGGGACAUUAAACACCGACUGAAGGCUCGCUUCCAUUGAGUUGUUAAAAAUUAAGCCGUAAGCUACCGAAGUUCCAGACAGCUAAAAGUAAUUUACGGCUCCAUUUUCGUACCAGGUUUCCAUUGAAAUAUUUUGUGCAUUGCGUCCAGUCGCUCUUUUCGUGUAGAUGUAAGUUAACGUUGUGUUAACGCUUCCUUCCAACGUUGGAUUUCUUGAAAAUAAAGUUAGUUGCUAUGGUA